UACGGGGGGAGCAAGCGUUGUUCGGAUUUACUGGGCGUAAAGGGCGCGUAGGCGGCCACUGCAAGUCGGUUGUGAAAACUCCAGGCUCAACCUGGAGACGCCACCUCAUACUGCCGUGGCUAGAGUCCGGUAGGGGAGCAUGGAAUUCCUGGUGUAGCGGUGAAAUGCGCAGAUAUCAGGAGGAACACCAGUGGCGAAGGCGGUGCUCUGGGCCGGAACUGACGCUGAGGAGCGAAAGCGUGGGGAGCAAACAGG
rnacentral:rRNA from 1 species